UCCGGCAGAAGGCUGCUGCUUCGCUCUCUCUGAUACGACAUAGAAGGCUUGACAUCAUAGGCUGUGGUCUACUCCGCUCUUAAAGAAUCACUUCGAAUUGCAUUUUCUUAUUAUAUGAAGUAUAGCCAAUUGGUAGGCUACUAUUUUGCAUCGACGUCCUGGGUCCACUUGCUGUACAAACCUGCGACAUUUCUUAAUAUCGCCUUUGAUCUUCUUCAGUUUACGCCUUGAGAGGGAGCGGAAGCACAUGGCCGAUUGAGGAUGUAUGUCAUAUGAAGUCUAAAUUCUGCAUUGUGAAGACUAAGAUUCCCUAUCUAAAAAUACAUUCAACAUCCUCUACCAUGCCUGCACCUGACAUGGUGGAUGGCAAACUCUUUGGUUCCCGCUGUGCCAUAGAAGGAGUGUCUAUUAAGGGGCUCUUUGCCUUUCUGGUCCUGAGUCUCCUACUGCCUUCAGGAGCAACAACGAGCUCAAAAUCUGUCACCUGCCACAAAACCUGUUUGUGCGCCAGCAACAUCGUUAGCUGCUCCAAGAUGAACCUGACCAGCAUCCCCAUGGCUUUUCCUCGCUACACUGCUGUGCUGGACCUUAGCUUCAACCAAAUCAGUAAACUGAAAGCUGAAUGGACCCCUGUCAAGCUCAGCAUGCUGCACAGCCUCCUGCUCAGCCACAACGGCCUCACCUUCCUCUCUUCCGAGGCCUUCCUAUAUGUCACACGGUUGCGGUACCUUGACCUUUCCUCAAAUGGCCUGAAAAUUCUGGAGGAGUUCAUCUUCGAGCCCCUGGAGCACCUGGAGGUGCUUCUGCUUUACAACAACUACAUCUCCCAGAUUGACCGCACUGCCUUCUCCAGCCUCAACAGCCUGCAAAAGCUCUACCUCAGUCAGAACCAGAUCCAACGCUUCCCCCUGGAGCUGGUCAAAGAGAGGAAUCGGCUGGAGAAGCUCACUCUGUUGGACGUGUCCACCAAUCGGCUCAAACUGCUGCCCAUACAGGAGCUCCAGGUCCUGCCUGCCUGGAUAAAGAAUGGCCUCUACUUCCACAACAACCCGCUGCCCUGCAGCUGUGAGCUGUACAGCAUGCUGGCCCGCUGGCACCGCCAGGAGCUCAGCUCUGCCACUGAUUUCAGAGACGACCACACCUGCCUCCUCCCAGGCACACAGAAGGAGAAGGCACUCACCCUGGAGCUGAACAAGGUCCAUCUGAAUUGCAGCGCAGUGACCAUUUUAGACGAGGAGGCCUACCUUGAGCAGUUCAUAAGACUGGGCUGUGACACUAGGCAGAGGUACAUGCUGAAGAGCUGGGUCCUUCCAGGCAAUGUGCAGUUGUCUUCUGGUAACCAGAGUUCCAGGGUCCUCAGCGACGGAAGCCUGCAGGUCGGCCCCAUCACACUAGAGGACUCUGGGAUCUACACCUGUUACGCAGUGGGGGAAUCCUUCAACGAGACCCUGUAUGUGACUGUGUUAGUGCACAACGCCACUCAGGCUGGAGGGCAGGAGGGCAUGAAGACGGCCUACACCACAUUGGUGGGCUGUCUGGCCAGUGCGAUGAUGGUGCUCAUCUACCUCUACCUCACACCCUGCAGCUGCAUCUGCUGCCCGGGCCAGGGCCUGGACAAGAGAGCCCCGGGGGACAGCCUUCACUCCUCCAUCCUUAGCGUCUCUCCCACCCAUGAGGACACAGGCCCGGAGGGGGGCGGAGGUGAAGGGGGUGCCUUUGACAAGCCUCCCUUUAACAGGCAUGUCACCUACCUGGACCCAAAGGGCCUGCUGGAGCAGAAUGGGCGACUGAGCCCAUGUGGGGAGGAGGAUGAGGAGUGGCAGGAGGAGGACAGAGGGAGGCAGGAACAGAGAAGGAAGUCAGACGCAGGGUCUCUGAGCUCUGUGUACUCGGACACCCCUAUUGUUGUGUGAGAUGGUGUUUCGGUUCAACUGGAGGAUCUUCCACAUAAAAACACUGGUGGGAGGGUGGAGGAUGGGUGACUCAGCUGCCUCAGUAGGACUGUAACUUGCUCAUGAAGCAGGAGGAGGCUAUCCAUUUUCCAUAUGUAGAAAUUCAAUAGGUACCUUGAUGGAGGAACUUACUGCGCUGCUGUUAUAGAGGGACAUCUCUGAAGACAGACUCCCACCUCUUAAGACCAAAUACUCAAACCUAUAGUAUAAGCUGAAAGGCCCAUUAUUAACUCACAGUAAAGCAGUUACUGAACACACACAACAAAACAUGUGCCACUAACAUUUUCAGAAGCAAGACUUUCUUAAGCUAUCCAUUCAUGUCUAUGUUUCUGCCUGCUCAGGGUCAUAUAGUUUCAUAUGUAUGUGUAUAUACAUUAUCUAACUAUCUAUUAAUCAGAUGUUUAAUAGUAUGUAUCCCUACAGUAUACAUUAUUAUAUAAAGAUGUUGCAAGAUACUGUAUGUGCUUUUGCAUACUAGCAGAGGAGUUGUAAAUUAAAGACAGAUAAUGUUAUAUGAGAAUAUUAUCAUAACCUAUAAUCUUGUUAUGCUUUGAAGACCCUUACAUUUGACAAUUGACAUGGUCAUUUCUGGUAGAAGCUAUUGGACCUCUGGCUCUUCUGUAUAAAGACUGCAUUAUAAUCUCCUGAAGAAAAAUGUAUCAUCUCUGACCAAGCAAUGAUUGGUUAAAAUAUUUAAAGCGUAACCGGUGUGUAAUCUCUUGUACACUCACAAAGGGAAUCAGCUGAGUAAUUGUUAUCUGUUUAUAUACGUAUGUAAAAGUAUUAUGUGUCUUUGUGGUAGCCAUUUCUUGUGAUGUUCUGCGUUUGCCUACUGUACGUCUGUGUUACUUACUACUUACUGCUUAUGAAUUGUUGGGUCAAGUACAAAGACAUUAAUCUGUAAUGACAGACUUUUGUCAGAAUCUCUCUGCUAUGCUCUCAAAUGCCUUCCUGUUCAUCCACUGUACCUGUCAACUGUAUUCACAACCUCAAACUUCCAAAACAUGAAGUGUGAUGAUACUGUGUUUUUCUUGGAAAGAAGCACUCAAGAGACACAUAACUAAGUAAAAAUACUUUGAAUUACUUAUUACAGUGCCUAGUUGAAGUCUACACACCCCUUGCACAGUCUUCACAUUUUUCUGCCUUAAAAUUGUAUUAAAAAAAACAGAUUAAAUGUGAUUUUUUUUCCUAUCGAUCUAUACAAUGUGCUCCACAUUAUAGAACAUUUAUAGAACAUUUUCCAAAUGACUAAGAAAUACAAAAUGUUGUAUUGAUUGCGUAUGUCCUAACACCCCAGAGGUAAUACUUGGUGGAAGCACCUAUAGCAGCCUUUACAGCUGUGAAUAAUUUGGAAUCAUAUUCUUCCAAUUUUGCACAACUCUUAGGGCAACAUGCAGCAACAUGUGAAGACUGUGCAAGGGUUGUGUAGACUUUCACUAGCGACUGUGUAUGGAGUGUUUUUGGUAAGUAGUUUAUCUGUACUUUACUAUUUACUAUUGUACUUUACUACUUUACUAUGUAUAUUUUUGAUUACUUUGACUCCACUACAUUCAUAAAGAAAAUAUCUACUUUUUACUCCCAUAUAAAAAUUCUUAAUUUAUGAAUGAGCCCCUGGCAAUCCGCAAAUAAAAAUCAAGAAAAUCA